UACAGAGGGUGCAAACGUUGCUCGGAAUUAUUGGGCGUAAAGCGCGUGUAGGCGGCUUGUUAAGUUGGUUGUGAAAACCCAUGGCUCAACCAUGGAAGGGCGUCCAAAACUGGCAAGCUAGAGUCCCGACGAGGAUGGCGGAAUUCCCAGUGUAGAGGUGAAAUUCGUAGAUAUUGGGAAGAACACCGGUGGCGAAGGCGGCUCACUGGCUCAUAUCUGACGCUCAGGCGCGACAGCGUGGGGAUCAAACAGG
rnacentral:rRNA from 1 species